UACGUAGGGUGCAAGCGUUAAUCGGAAUUACUGGGCGUAAAGCGUGCGCAGGCGGUUGUGCAAGACAGAUGUGAAAUCCCCGGGCUCAACCUGGGAAUUGCAUUUGUGACUGCACGGCUAGAGUGUGUCAGAGGGGGGUAGAAUUCCACGUGUAGCAGUGAAAUGCGUAGAGAUGUGGAGGAAUACCGAUGGCGAAGGCAGCCCCCUGGGCCUGUACUGACGCUCAUGCACGAAAGCGUGGGGAGCAAACAGG
rnacentral:rRNA from 1 species